rnacentral:rRNA from 1 species
GGAGGAAUAUUGGGUCAAUGGGGCGGAAGCCUGAACCAGCCAUGCCGCGUGAAGGACUAAGGCCCUACGGGUCGUAAACUUCUUUAGACGCAGAGCAAUAAGGUCCACGCGUGGACCGAUGAGAGUAUGCGUAGAAUAAGCAUCGGCUAACUCCGUGCCAGCAGCCGCGGUAAUACGGGGGAUGCGAGCGUUAUCCGGAUUCAUUGGGUUUAAAGGGUGCGUAGGCGGCCGAGUAAGUCAGCGGUGAAAGACCGGGGCUCAACCCUGGAAGUGCCGUUGAUACUGUUUGGCUGGAAUGAUCCCGCCGCGGGAGGAAUGA